CGGAUGAACGCUAGCGGGAGGCUUAACACAUGCAAGUCGAGGGGCAGCACAGGUAGCAAUACUGGGUGGCGACCGGCGGACGGGUGCGUAACGCGUAUGCAACCUACCUUAUACAGGGGGAUAGCCCGGGGAAACUCGGAUUAAUAUUCCAUAGUUCAGUAAAUUCGCAUGGGAUUACUGAUAAAACUCAGGUGGUAUAAGAUGGGCAUGCGUCUGAUUAGGUAGUUGGUAGGGUAACGGCCUACCAAGCCGACGAUCAGUAGGGGUUCUGAGAGGAUCAUCCCCCACACUGGUACUGAGACACGGACCAGACUCCUACGGGAGGCAGCAGUGAGGAAUAUUGGUCAAUGGGCGCAAGCCUGAACCAGCCAUCCCGCGUGAAGGAUAAAGGCCUUAUGGGUUGUAAACUUCUUUUGUACCUGAAGAAACCCUUCUACGUGUAGGAGGUUGCCGGUAAGGUACGAAUAAGCAUCGGCUAACUCCGUG
rnacentral:rRNA from 1 species